UACGUAGGGUGCAAGCGUUGUCCGGAAUUAUUGGGCGUAAAGAGCGUGUAGGCGGCCCGAUUAGUCCGCUGUGAAAGUCCAGGGCUCAACCCUGGAAUGCCGGUGGAUACUGUCGGGCUAGAGUCCGGAAGGGGCGAGUGGAAUUCCUGGUGUAGCGGUGAAAUGCGCAGAUAUCAGGAGGAACACCAAUAGCGAAGGCAGCUCGCUGGGACGGUAUUGACGCUAAGGCGCGAAAGCGUGGGGAGCAAACAGG
rnacentral:rRNA from 1 species